rnacentral:rRNA from 1 species
AACGAACGCUGGCGGCAGGCUUAACACAUGCAAGUCGAACGCACCGCAAGGUGAGUGGCAGACGGGUGAGUAACACGUGGGGAUCUGCCCAAUGGUACGGAAUAGCUCCGGGAAACUGGAAUUAAUACCGUAUGUGCCCUUCGGGGGAAAGAUUUAUCGCCAUUGGAUGAACCCGCGUCGGAUUAGCUAGUUGGUGUGGUAAAGGCGCACCAAGGCGACGAUCCGUAGCUGGUCUGAGAGGAUGAUCAGCCACACUGGGACUGAGACACGGCCCAGACUCCUACGGGAGGCAGCAGUGGGGAAUAUUGGACAAUGGGCGCAAGCCUGAUCCAGCCAUGCCGCGUGAGUGAUGAAGGCCCUAGGGUUGUAAAGCUCUUUCACCGACGAAGAUAAUGACGGUAGUCGGAGAAGAAGCCCCGGCUAACUUCGUGCCAGCCGCCACCGUAAUAC